rnacentral:rRNA from 1 species
AGAGCGAACGCUGGCGGCAGGCCUAACACAUGCAAGUCGAGCGCCCCGCAAGGGGAGCGGCAGACGGGAGAGUAACACGUGGGAACGUACCCUUCAGUUCGGAACAACCCAGGGAAACUUGGGCUAAUACCGGAUACGUCCGUAAGGAGAAAGAUUUAUCGCUGAAGGAUCGGCCCGCGUCUGAUUAGCUAGUUGGUGGGGUAAUGGCCCACCAAGGCGACGAUCAGUAGCUGGUCUGAGAGGAUGAUCAGCCACAUUGGGACUGAGACACGGCCCAAACUCCUACGGGAGGCAGCAGUGGGGAAUAUUGGACAAUGGGCGCAAGCCUGAUCCAGCCAUGCCGCGUGAGUGAUGACGGCCUUAGGGUUGUAAAGCUCUUUCGCUAGGGACGAUAAUGACGGUACCUAGACAAGAAGCCCCGGCUAACGUUCGUGCCAGCAGCCGC